rnacentral:misc_RNA from 1 species
GUUGGAUUACUAACCUACCCACCACAACAACGGCAGCUUGUAGAUGCAAAAAUUACUAGCCACGUCUAAAAAAAAUAUCAUACACGCUCGUGAGAGAGCAGAGGGCUGAUUUCUCUCUAUCGUUGAAGCUACUACUACGGCGCCAUAACCUUUCUAUGGCUAAUGUUAUAAACUGUGUAUAUUGUCCAUCCAUUUGUUCAUAAUCAUAAAAACUAAAAAUAAAAGAAAAGGUUCCGAGGGAACAGCAGCCAUUUAUGCAUGAAAACAUUUCUUCAGACCUGAUAUGAAGGAAAUACAGUUGUAGCCCAAUAACAGGAACAGAUGAAACCAAAGAUGCAAAGAUCCCUGCC